GGCGGACGGGUGAGUAACACGUGGGUAACCUGCCUGUAAGACUGGGAUAACUCCGGGAAACCGGAGCUAAUACCGGAUAGUUCCUUGAACCGCAUGGUUCAAGGAUGAAAGACGGUUUCGGCUGUCACUUACAGAUGGACCCGCGGCGCAUUAGCUAGUUGGUGGGGUAAUGGCUCACCAAGGCGACGAUGCGUAGCCGACCUGAGAGGGUGAUCGGCCACACUGGGACUGAGACACGGCCCAGACUCCUACGGGAGGCAGCAGUAGGGAAUCUUCCGCAAUGGACGAAAGUCUGACGGAGCAACGCCGCGUGAGUGAUGAAGGUUUUCGGAUCGUAAAGCUCUGUUGUUAGGGAAGAACAAGUGCGAGAGUAACUGCUCGCACCUUGACGGUACCUAACCAGAAAGCCACGGCUAACUACGUGCCAGCAGCCGCGGUAAUACGUAGGUGGCAAGCGUUGUCCGGAAUUAUUGGGCGUAAAGGGCUCGCAGGCGGUUUCUUAAGUCUGAUGUGAAAGCCCCCGGCUCAACCGGGGAGGGUCAUUGGAAACUGGGAAACUUGAGUGCAGAAGAGGAGAGUGGAAUUCCACGUGUAGCGGUGAAAUGCGUAGAGAUGUGGAGGAACACCAGUGGCGAAGGCGACUCUCUGGUCUGUAACUGACGCUGAGGAGCGAAAGCGUGGGGAGCGAACAGGAUUAGAUACCCUGGUAGUCCACGCCGUAAACGAUGAGUGCUAAGUGUUAGGGGGUUUCCGCCCCUUAGUGCUGCAGCUAACGCAUUAAGCACUCCGCCUGGGGAGUACGGUCGCAAGACUGAAACUCAAAGGAAUUGACGGGGGCCCGCACAAGCGGUGGAGCAUGUGGUUUAAUUCGAAGCAACGCGAAGAACCUUACCAGGUCUUGACAUCCUCUGACAACCCUAGAGAUAGGGCUUUCCCUUCGGGGACAGAGUGACAGGUGGUGCAUGGUUGUCGUCAGCUCGUGUCGUGAGAUGUUGGGUUAAGUCCCGCAACGAGCGCAACCCUUGAUCUUAGUUGCCAGCAUUCAG
rnacentral:rRNA from 2 species